UACACGUUGGAACCUGCCCCAAAGUGAGGAAUAAGCCACCGAAAGGUGGUCUAAUACUUCAUAAUAUCCAUCUCGUAUGGAUUAAAGCUUUAUGCGCUUUGGGAGGGGCCUGCGUAACAUUAGCUUGUUGGUGAGGUAAAAGCUCACCAAGGCUUCGAUGUUUAACUGGUUUGAGAGGAUGACCAGUCACACUGGGACUGAGAUACGGCCCAGACUCCUACGGGAGGCAGCAGUAAGGAAUCUUCCACAAUGGGGCAACCUGAUGGAGCAAUACCGCGUGCAGGAUGAAGCGUUUCGGCGUGUAAACUGCUUUUAUCACCGAAGAUUAUGACUGUAGGUGAAGAAUAAGGACCGGCUAACUACGUG
rnacentral:rRNA from 1 species